ACCAGUUCAACAACGUGUUAAAACGAAAGUAAAGAAAGAAACAGAACACGAUUCUAUGCUAGGGACAUAUAUAGAGAUCCAAAGAAGGCAUGGCGUCACAUUGCUGUGGAUACUGGAGACGAUACCUUCGGAUAUUGUAGACUUGGGAGUUAGGACCAUUUUUUCUACGCCAACCAUUCUGCAAUAUUUUCUAGAACUUGAAGUGUUUUUGGUAUAUAUCUACGACAAUUUGUUUCCACAGUUCAAUAUUAUCAACACAAACAAAAUAUGCGGCACGCGAGGUGGGAAGAUACAAAACUAGUGAUAAGUGAACUAUCUACAUUUACAACAAUAAAGUCUAUACGUGUUUACGUAAUGUAUUUAACAAAAAAAAGUGUUUAAAUGUA
rnacentral:lncRNA from 1 species